rnacentral:tRNA from 1 species
GCACUAGUGGUGUAGCGGUAACAUACUUCCCUUCCAUAUCUUCUGAUAGGAAGUGCUCUGGGUUCGACUCCCAGCUAGUGCA